rnacentral:sRNA from 1 species
AAGUGUGACCCUCAUGAGGCAACGUGUUAUGAUGAUGGGAAGACGUACCACGUAGGAGAACAGUGGCAGAAGGAAUAUCUCGGUGCCAUUUGCUCCUGCACAUGCUUUGGAGGCCAGCGGGUAAGACCGCAUGUGCCAGGCUCCCUACAAGUUAGAUAAGAUAAAGGGUGGGCUCCUGCGAGGAUGUGUCGUACACACAGGAGUGGCAGAGACCCUUCUGAAGUAUUAAAAUACCACAUUUCCUGUUGGCAUACAGCUGCUGACAUAGAGCUCUAGAGUAGCUCUAUGUCUACCUUAUAUGCCAUUCAUUCUUUCUAUUACUCUUAGUAGAAAGAAUGAAUGGCAUGUAGAGUACCAAAAACACAAGUCUUGAGUCAUUCUUAAUAGCAAUACCUGUCAUUUAUACGAUGUUAGAAUCAUUUUCCUAAGCUCCCUAGCAUGUCAGAGAUACUAUUUACACUGAAAAAAAGUGAAGCAGAGAUACUAUUCAAAUUAAUUAGUGGUAAAUAGAAUGUGUUUCAUUUCAGCCAGUUCUCCCCAACCUGGGCAGCCUGAGACCCUCCCCUCCCCUACUAUUCUCAGGCUGCUUCUAUUUUUCAGCAAAGUGUUAAGUGCAGUGUAGCUC